rnacentral:rRNA from 1 species
GAUGAACGCUGGCGGCGUGCUUAAUACAUGCAAGUCGAGCGAAGCACUUUAACGGAAUUCUUCGGAAGGAAGAUAAAGUGACUGAGCGGCGGACGGGUGAGUAACGCGUGGGUAACCUGCCUCAUACAGGGGGAUAACAGUUAGAAAUGGCUGCUAAUACCGCAUAAGCGCACAGGACCGCAUGGUCUGGUGUGAAAAACUCCGGUGGUAUGGGAUGGACCCGCGUUGGAUUAGGUAGUUGGUGGGGUAACGGCCUACCAAGCCGACGAUCCAUAGCCGGCCUGAGAGGGUGGACGGCCACAUUGGGACUGAGACACGGCCCAGACUCCUACGGGAGGCAGCAGUAGGGAAUAUUGCACAAUGGGGGAAACCCUGAUGCAGCGACGCCGCGUGAAGGAAGAAGUAUCUCGGUAUGUAAACUUCUAUCAGCAGGGAAGACAAUGACGGU